GCUCGCUCCGGCUGCACAUGUACUAAAAUUGGAACAAUAUAGAGAUUAGCAUGGCCCCUGCACAAGUACAUGUUGUAUAACUCUCACAGUUUCUUUCCUUUUUU